GAGAAUCUGUGACCUUUUUCAUGCGCGUGGUCCGCAGUCGCUCCACCACCACCACCUAUAAAUAGGCAGCUCCUCCGCAGAGAAUGAAAAUAUAGCAAUCAAAACUUAAUCCAUACACAUAUAUACCUCCGAGUUUCGUCUUCAACCUCAGCAUCAUCAUGUCUGACAAGUGCGGAAGCUGCGACUGCGCUGACAAAUCCCAGUGCGGGUAAUAAUCCUUUUUCUUUUUCUUCAACAUCAUUUUGAUCUUGUUUAGAAGAAAAAGAAUCUUAUGUAUCUGUCUGGAAUAGGUUGUGAGUUUGACUGCUUAUGUUAUGUUAUGUUGCAGGAAGAACGGCUACACAGCCGACAUCAUUGAGACCGACAAGAGGUAUAUACAUAGUUGAUCAACACAUAAACAAAAACAUAUUGAAUUAAAUGGAAUAUAUAUUUUGCAGCAACAGCAACAGCAUGGUGAUGGAUGCUCCGGCUGCCGCUGAGAACGACGGCAAAUGCAAGUGCGGCAGCAGCUGCAGCUGCACCGACUGCACNCCUAAAAAAAAACGAAAAGAAAAAAACUAAGGGCCGAGCCUUAAAACCUAAAAAAAACGAAAAGAAGGAGGAGAGAGAAGGAGGGGUAAGUUUUCGGAACUCCGGCCUAACCAUCGUCCCAAAACCAACCCGGCUUUCAGCCCGCAAAAAAGACAGAACAGGGGUAAGUUUCAUUAAUAAUUAAUGACUUAAUUCAAAAAAGAAAACCAUUUUUUCUCACAAGUUUCAUACUAACUAAUACAAAACAAGUUAAAAUUCUUGAACCUUAUAUACUAAAAUAGUACUUCAUAUAAUCUAUAGAAGAAGUCCACUUCAAAUCUCAAAGAUUCAAUUCAAAGGUAACAUACAAGUAUUUGAGAGUGUGCUCAUUUUAUAGGCACGAGUAAUACUCCCUACGUCCCUGAAAUAAGUUCAUCUUUUUCCAUUUUGGGACGUCCCCCAAAUAAGUUUCUCUUUCUUUCUUUCGAUUUUUGGACAACUACCUCACCACUAAUAAUACUUUAUUCAUUCUUACUUUUCACUUUUUCACCACUCCCAAUACUAGUAUAACAUUUUUUCACAUUUUCACCACUCCCAAUACUAAUUAUAACAUAUUUUUUUCCACUAUCAAUACACUUUACCAUUUUCCUUAAAACUCGUGCCGUCCCCAAAGAGGAACUUAUUUUGGGGACGGAGGGAGUAUAUUUUAUAAUUAAUGAUAUUAUUAAAAUAUUCAUUAGUCUUACUAGUUUCGAUGUCAUUUAUCAAAAUAUAAUGAUUUCACUGUCAGAAUUUCGCUCAUACAUAAUACUUCCUUCGUUCGCCAAAAGUGGAUCACUUUGAUUGGACACGAGAUUUAAUAAAAUUGGUGAUAAUUUUGAUGUAGUGGAGAAAGGAUCCCACCACAUUAUGAGAUGUGUGGUUGAGAUUGAAUUUGAGUUGAUUUUUUUGUAAAUAAAGAGUGUUUGUAAGGAUAAAAGAUUAAAGUAGAUGAUGAGACCAUUUCUAUAAAAGGAACGUGGUAUACUCUUUGCGGACACCCGAUAUAGUAAAAGUGAUCCACUUUUGACGGACGGGGGGAGUAGAAUUUUACGGUAUCUAUGCCCCAAAAAAUCAUAUACCAUACACUCAUACGUAACACUAAUAUCGUUAUCUAAAGUAUUAUACAUAACAACUGUAAAGCUGUUAUCUAUAGUUCUUAUAAAUAAUAGUUGUGUCCGUUAUCAUAGAAAUAUACCGAAUCGUUAUGCAUGUAUUUUAAUUUUUUUUAUAUUUUAUUAUAUUUGACAAAUAUUUUUUCAAUACAUAACUAUCGUCGAUCUUUACCGUUAUGUAAAACGAGACUAUCAUAAAUCUAUUUUUCCUCUCAAAUUUUUUUUUUUUUUUUUUUUUUUCAUCGAGUAAAGGAAGAAGAAUUGGGAUCGAACCUGAUCUCUCUCCUUUGCAUACAAAAUAAUCCAUAAAUUGUGAUGUCAUUGAAAUUAUUAUACACAUUAUAAGUAAAAUGAAUUGAAACAUAUCCACCGAAACUGGCGCAUGUAUAUAUAUUCCAAUAACAAAAGUAAAACACAAUAUACUAACUCGUUUACAAGUAAAGGCAAGUAAUAUCAUGUUGAAAUUUCCGAAAAUGAAAAACGGAAAAGACGAGACGAUAAAGGAGAAUCUGUGACCUUUUCCAUGCGCGUGGUCCGCAGUCGCUCCACCACCACCACCUAUAAAUAGGCAGCUCCUCCGCAGAGAAUGAAAAUAUAGCAAUCAAAACUUAAUCCAUACACACAUAUAUCUUAACUUCGUCUUCAACCUCAGCAUCAUCAUGUCUGACAAGUGCGGAAGCUGCGACUGCGCUGACAAAUCCCAGUGCGGGUAAUAAUCCUUUUCUUUUUCUUCAACAUCAUUUUGAUCUUGUUUAGAAGAAAAAGAAUCUUAUGUAUCUGUCUGAAAUAGGUUGUGAGUUUGAUUGCUUAUGUUAUGUUAUGCAUGUUGCAGGAAGAACGGCUACACAGCCGACAUCAUUGAGACCGACAAGAGGUAUAUACAUAGUUGAUCAACACAUAAACAAAAACAUAUUGAAUUAAAUGGAAUAUAUAUUUUGCANCAGCAGCAACAGCAACAGCAUGGUGAUGGAUGCUCCGGCUGCCGCUGAGAACGACGGCAAAUGCAAGUGCGGCAGCAGCUGCAGCUGCACCGACUGCACCUGCGCCCACUGAGAUGGAUAUAUAGCAGAAAAGGGACUGGGGCUGCUGCCCAUAUCUUAAUCUUAUCAUGUAAUCUAAUCUUUCAAUAACUUAGUUCCCACAUGUCCUAAACUAUUACCCUCCCUUUCCCUUUUUUAAUGAAUUCAUAUUAUAUAUAUAUGCUCUCUCUCUCUCUCUCUUAAUCACGAGAACAUGCACUCAAU
rnacentral:lncRNA from 1 species